rnacentral:tRNA from 1 species
AAGUAAGAAGCGAUUAUUUGCUUUCAGUUUCGACCUGAACCUAGGUUGUAUAACCCUUACUUU